rnacentral:lncRNA from 1 species
UCCAAAAUCGCAGGGAGCACUUGGAAACAAUUCUUGGCAACUGUAUUCAGUUGAAGAAACUCAGAAUAUGAAAGCAUUAACAUAGAGUGCAACCAAAACAAAAAUAAGAAUCACCCAAGCUGGGCUACAAGAAUAGCUAGUGUUUACUCUGAGUGGAUAUUUAUGAAGAGCCAUAGUAAUCAACCAGCAUGAACUAGAACUGUCCUGGGAAAACUAGAAAACACAACCGAGGACCGAGAAACAAAAGGUCUCACGUAUACCCCAAAAUGGUAUUAAAAAGAGACAAAAUACUAAAGUAUAAAUAGCAUUUCGAAAGUCACCAGGCAAGAGAAUUAGAUCCAUUCAGUUUAAAUUUAUGAUUUUCUAUACUCAGAAAAACCCCAUUUUAAAAAGUAUAAUAUAGUUCCUUUUCCCCAAGAUUUUUCUAUAUUUUCCACAUAUUUUUAAAAAAUGUGGGCGCAGUGGCUCACGCCUGUAAUCCCAGCACUUUGGGAGGCCGAGGCGGGCGGAUCACGAGGUCAGGAGAUCGAGACCACGGUGAAACCCCGUCUCUACUAAAAAUACAAAAAAUUAGCCUGGCGUGGUGGCGGGCGCCUGUAGUCCCAGCUACUUGGGAGGCUGAGGCAGGAGAAUGGCGUGAACCCCGGAGGCGGAGCUUGCAGUGAACCCAGAUCGCGCCGCUGCACUCCAGCCUGGGCGACAGAGCGCUCAUGCCUGCAAUCCCAGUGUUUUGAGGGAUGAGACAAGAGGGUCAUUUGAGCCCAGGAGUUCCAGACCAGCCUGGGGAAGACCCCACCUCUACAAAAAAAAAAAAUACAAAAAUUAGCUGGGUUUAGUGGGACAUGUCUGUAGUCCCAUCUACUCGCAAGGCUGAGUUGGGAGAAUCACCUGAGCCCAGGAGGUCGAGGCUGCAGUGAGCCGAGA